CCGACGAGGAUACACUCAAGCCUCUGCACCUGUGUCUUAUGGUUCGCUGAAUAAAGAUAUGGUGCUUUGGCCGUAGCAGAGCAAUAGCUCUCGCUGCCAGGGUGCAGGAAGAAAUGACUGCAUCUCCCGAAUCUGGAAAGGUGUACAUGGCCUCACAAC
rnacentral:ncRNA from 2 species